UACGUAGGGCGCAAGCGUUGUCCGGAAUUAUUGGGCGUAAAGAGCUCGUAGGCGGCUCGUCGCGUCGGAUGUGAAAGCCUGGGGCUUAACUCCAGGUCUGCAUUCGAUACGGGCGGGCUAGAGGCAGGUAGGGGAGAACGGAAUUCCCGGUGUAGCGGUGGAAUGCGCAGAUAUCGGGAGGAACACCGGUGGCGAAGGCGGUUCUCUGGGCCUGUACUGACGCUGAGGAGCGAAAGCGUGGGGAGCGAACAGG
rnacentral:rRNA from 1 species